GUUUUUACUUAAAACACAUAUAACAUCACUGGAAUGACACAAAAGAUUAACCUGGUCCUUGUACAAGGAUGACAUGCAAAUUUGUGAAGCAUUUCAUAUUUUU
ensembl:snRNA U6 U6 spliceosomal RNA